CUGAAGUUCGCCGCGCAGGAGCGCCAGCUGCUGCUUGUUUUUGAUGGGCACAAAUCCCACCUGGAUCCAGAGCUGGUCCGGGUGGCACAGAGGGAGGAGGUCAUUCUCCUGUGCCUUCCACCACACACAUCUCUGGUGGCUGGGUUCAGGAAGUGUGGCCUGUACCCUCUGGACCCGGAAGCCAUUGAUUGGUCACGGGUCAUGCCAUCCAGACCGUGGUGUGGGACCUCCUGUCAACCUCCGCCAACCCCAUCAGCAUCUUCCUGGGCCAUGCCUGAUGUUACCCACCCAUCCCAACACCCCCCCCCCCCACACACACCAGAGUCCACCCCCUGUCCCUUGUCCACCCCCUGUCCCUUGUCCACCCAAUCCCUACUCUACCCAUCCCCUGGUAACAUCAGGCAGGAUCUCAGUAGACCUGGCCCACCUCCUGCCCGAGGUGCGUUAUAAUACCACCAAGGUCAGGAGGAAUACCACCAAGGCCAGGAUACUGACGGCUCAGGAGAUGUCUGAUGCCAUCGAGGAGGCGGAGGACCGUGCUGCAAGGCGGGAGGCCCAAGCUCUGGCCAGAGAGCAGCACCUGGUGGCUCCCGUCCCAGCCGCAGAACAGCAUCCCCCGGGGCUGCCUCGGCCUCCAGCUCCGGCCUUUCCAUCGCCGGUCCCUCAACCCGCUCGGCCCCCUCUAGUGCCUCCCACGGUCACCAGCUGCCUGCCCCUAGCGGAACAUCCCCACCUAGCCUGCCUGCUCCUGGCUGGCUACUGGAUGAGCCAUCAACAUCUGCCUUCGGCCUCCGAGGGUCCAGAUUGUCUUCCUCUCCCUCCCAAUGUAAAUGCUUUAUAUCAUCUAUAAAAACAAACAAUGUCCUAAGAUGCUGGUGAUAUUAGGGAUGAUGAUGAGUAAACAACACAUGUCAUCUUGUUUAUACAGCCUGCAGACAGACAGCUGGCGCAGCUCCUCCCAGCCGUCUGCUGGACCCAUGGCAUCCACUGGUAUUGUAUUUAACAUUAACAGUCUGUGUGCCAUCCCAUGAUAUUCAAAACAUGUUCUUAAAUAUAUUUUUUCUAUGAGUAGGUCACACCACCACCAUGGAAGAUCUGUGUGGCCAGUGCAGGGAACCCGACCCUCCGGGUGUCUGCUCGGAGGGAUUGGUGCUGUGGGUCCAGUGCAACAAAUGUGACAAAUGGUUUCACACUAUUUGUGUCGGCUGGGAGGAGCUGGACAAAGACGAAUUUUUGUGUUUUUGGUGUUUUUGGUGCCUUAAUAUGUUCGAUAAGUUUGUUAUUUAAUUUGUUUUUAAUUUGAUUAUCCUUUAUAUAUUUGUUUGUAUAUAUUGUAUAUAUUGCUGUUUUUUGUCCUGUCAAUUUAGUAAAAUAUUUUUCAUGUCAUG
rnacentral:lncRNA from 15 species